rnacentral:rRNA from 1 species
AGUCGAACGGCAGCACGGGGCAACCUGGUGGCGAGUGGCGAACGGGUGAGUAAAGCAUCGGAACGUACCCUAGAGUGGGGGAUAACUAUCCGAAAGGAUAGCUAAUACCGCAUAUUCUAUGAGUAGGAAAGCGGGGGAUCUUCGGACCUCGCGCUCUAGGAGCGGCCGAUGUCAGAUUAGGUAGUUGGUGGGGUAAAGGCCUACCAAGCCGACGAUCUGUAGCGGGUCUGAGAGGAUGAUCCGCCACACUGGGACUGACGACACGGCCCAGACUCCUACGGGAGGCAGCAGUGGGGAAUUUUGGACAAUGGGGGCAACCCUGAUCCAGCCAUGCCGCGUGAGUGAAGAAGGCCUUCGGGUUGUAAAGCUCUUUCGGCCGGGAAGAAAUCGUGUGGGCUAAUACCCUGCAUGGAUGACGGUACCGGAAUAAGAAGCACCGGCUAACUACGUGCCAGCAGCCGCGGUAAUACGUAGGGUGCGAGCGUUAAUCGGAAUUACUGGGCGUAAAGCGUGCGCAGGCGGUUUUUUAAGACAGGCGUGAAAUCCCCGGGCUUAACCUGGGAACUGCGCUUGUGACUGGAAGGCUAGAGUACGGCAGAGGGGGGUGGAAUCCACGUGUAGCAGUGAAAUGCGUAGAGAUGUGGAGGAACACCGAUGGCGAAGGCAGCCCCCUGGGCCGAUACUGACGCUCAUGCACGAAAGCGUGGGGAGCAAACAGGAUUAGAUACCUGGUAGUCCACGCCCUAAACGAUGUCAACUAGUUGUUGGGUGGGUAAAACCAUUUAGUAACGUAGCUAACGCGUGAAGUUGACCGCCUGGGGAGUACGGCCGCAAGGUUAAAACUCAAAGGAAUUGACGGGGACCCGCACAAGCGGUGGAUGAUGUGGAUUAAUUCGAUGCAACGCGAAAAACCUUACCUACCCUUGACAUGUUCAGAAUCCUGAAGAGAUUUGGGAGUGCCCGAAAGGGAGCUGGAACACAGGUGCUGCAUGGCUGUCGUCAGCUCGUGUCGUGAGAUGUUGGGUUAAGUCCCGCAACGAAGCGCAACCCUUGUCGUUAAUUGCCAUCAUUAAGUUGGGCACUUUAACGAGACUGCCGGUGACAAACCGGAGGAAGGUGGGGAUGACGUCAAGUCCUCAUGGCCCUUAUGGGUAGGGCUUCACACGUCAUACAAUGGUCGGUACAGAGGGUUGCCAAGCCGCGAGGUGGAGCCAAUCCCAGAAAGCCGAUCGUAGUCCGGAUUGUAGGCUGCAACUCGCCUGCAUGAAGUCGGAAUCGCUAGUAAUCGCGGAUCAGCAUGUCGCGGUGAUACGUUCCCGGGUCUUGUACACACCGCCCGUCACACCAUGGGAGCGGGUUCCGCCAGAAGUGGGUAGCCUAACCGCAA